AUACCUUUCUCGGCCUUUUGGCUAAGAUCAAGUGUAGUAUCUGUUCUUAUCAGUUUAAUAUCUGAUAUGUGGGCCAUCGGCUCACACGAUAUUAAAUUUAUCUUUUGAGGGGGAAAGUCCAUUAAUAGCUUGCUAUCUGGGCUUUCGCGCGUCGUCUUUGCGUUGCACUAUUGCAUGGGCCUGGCGCACCCCAC